rnacentral:rRNA from 1 species
UGAACCUUAUCAUUUAGAGGAAGGAGAAGUCGUAACAAGGUUUCCGUAGGUGAACCUGCGGAAGGAUCAUUGUCGAGAUGGAGAACGCAUUUUGAGCGAUUCGGAAAACUCGUGAGCCGAGCGGCGGCCCAUCUGGCGCCGACGCGCAGCAGCGCCCGGGCCGGUGCCCCCCCUCCGGCGGGCGGCGGCGCGGGCCGGCUGAACCAAAACCGGCGCAGCGCCGCGCCAAGGGAACGCGUUUUUGCACGAUCCCCCGAGGGGGCUUCGUGGCGUGAGCGCCGUCGCGCUCCGAAAGGAAUAGCACGACUCUCGGCAAUGGAUAUCUCGGCUCUCGCAUCGAUGAAGAGCGCAGCGAAAUGCGAUACGUGGUGCGAAUUGCAGAAUCCCGCGAACCAUCGAGUCUUUGAACGCAAGUUGCGCCCGAGGCCAAUCGGCCAAGGGCACGCCCGCCUGGGCGUCUAGCAUUACGUCGCUCCGCGCCCGAGCGCACGUCGCCGGCACGGACGCGCAGAAUGGCUCCUCGCGUACGCUGGCGCGGCGGGCUGAAGUGCGAGUUGCGCCGCUCUCGCUGUGGCCGCGGCCGACAAGGGUGGGAGGAAACGAUGCGUGCCUCGGACAUUUGUCCCGCGCCGCGGCCGACGGGGCGGCAUGCGCUCUCGAGAUCCCGAAUCCCUGCGCCGCGAACCCGCGGCGGCUAGGAAUGCGACCCCAGGAUGGGCGGGGCCACCCGCCGAGUUUAAGCAUAUCAAUAAGCGGAGGAGAAGAAACUUACCAGGAUUCCCCUAGUAACGG